CUGAACCAGUUAAAAUUGUAACCAAAUAAGAGAAAUAGAAAAGGGAAGGGGAAAAUGAGAAAAUAAAAAGAAUGGGAAAGAGGAAGCUGUUGAACGAUUUCAACAAUUGCACUGAAAAUAUCCAAUUACACACACCGAUCCUUUCAUCUUUGCACAUGGAGGUAUAUGAACACGGAUGCAUCAAAGUCNAUUGCACUGAAAAUAUCCAAUUACACACACCGAUCCUUUCAUCUUUGCACAUGGAGGUAUAUGAACACGGAUGCAUCAAAGUCGUGUUUCACAAAAUUAACAAUAAAGAAACGUUUCCAACUAAUUCAAUUAUUGAGGCCAAAACGACACCGUUCCGUUUAAUCCAUACGACACAAUUUUGGUUUAAAGGGUAGAUUAAACUGUUGGAGCUUCAUUCUUCUUCUUCCCCUUUCUUUUCUUCUGGUUCAG
rnacentral:lncRNA from 1 species